rnacentral:lncRNA from 1 species
CGCCCUGAUAGUCCGUUCGCCCUGGGUUCGUUCGCCCUAUAUUCAUUUAUGAUAUGUAUAUGUUACAUCAAUGAACGAAAUAUAUAUAUAUAUUCAAAUUUAUUAAAAUUUAUAUAUAUCUAUUAAAAGUUAAAUACAGAAUAUUUGCCAAAUUUAUAUUAAUUAAAUAAAAGUCUUGGCUGCAUUGUUACACUUUAUUUUAUAAUUACUUUUAAUAUUACUGUUGAUGGAAUUUGAUUGCUGAGUAGGUGUCAUUUGAAACCAUUGAUAUCACUGAUUGUUAUAUAAAUUGUCUUUGAUGGAUUAAUAAUGAGAAUAACAUUUUUCUCAAAUAAAAUAGUCAGCUUGGAUGGGUAAAAUUCAGUUUGAAAUAAAAAAAUAAAUAAAAAAAGGAUGGGUAAAAACACUGAUGACAAGUGAUCAAUGUACAGCAGUGUGACUGUGUUUUUGGUAUUUGUUUCACUAAUAGUAAUUCUAUUUAGUGCUUUUAAAUAUUUGUUUAGGAAAUAAAUGUGUGCGACGUACAGUUCGGAAUUGAUCUUGUUAUAACUGUUACUGAAUAUUUUUAAGUUGUUAAAAUGUAUCAAUAAAGUUAAAUAUAUAAAUAACAUAGUCAUGUUAGUCUUUAGGAUUAUUGUUUUAUGUCAGGUAUAAGUCAGAAACUUAUCCUUGUAGAAGCAAGACAACAACUUAGUCUUCAGUUGUUUCACAUUUAAAAAUACAAUGUAG